GCACGGACCCAACCCUAGAAUCCAUCCUCCUCUACUCCCACACCGACGUGGUCCCCUCCGAACACUCCAAGUGGGCCCACCACCCCUUCCGCGCCAACCUCGACUCCGAGGGGAGUUACAGGCCGUUCUACGCGGAGAGGAACCCCUGGUGGCUGGUCAUUAAUGCCGUUGGGGCUCCUGCACAUGGCUCCAAGCUUUAUGAUAAGCUUUUGUGGUUUGUGUCUAUUGAAUUUCUACACAAAGAUGAAUACUUGAAAGGGGUUCAAAUCUAUGAGUCAAUAAUUAAGGUAUAUGCAUCCUUCAAUGAUCAAGGAAAAGAUGGAGGAUCCAGAGAUGAGUUAUGAGCAAGUGGUGCAGCACCUGCCCUUCCUAGCCCUAAUGCCCACUUUUUGCCUUUUCUCGAUGUAACAAUAAAGAGGAAAAUAAUAUUUGAACUGACUCCUUUCUUGUUUACUAGCUUCUGACACGUAACAAUAAACAAAUGAGUCGGUUACAAACUUUGCUUGGAGCAACUUGGCCCUUGCGUGUGAAUGCUUUCUCAAAACUGGAAGGCGUUUUAUCAAAUCACCUCAAAUGAGACUUGGACAUGAACAAAGCGAGACUUGGUUAGGCGAGUUCUUCUAGUCA